CGAGCACAUCCACACACGCUCCCAGUUUUAGAGAGUCAAUAGGGCAUGUUGGUUGUGCUGGUGGAGGGUAUGGCACCACUGGUGGUGGUGGUGGACAUGGUGUUUCACUUGGAGGGCUUGGGGGUGUCACAGUGGGUGGAGUUGGUUGAACUGGUGGCAAAGGAACCACAGGAGGAGGGUUCACAAUGGGUGGUUUUGGCACAUAAGGUGGUGUAACGGGAACAACUGGUGGUUUAGGAACGUAAGGAGGUGUAACGGGGACAACCGGAGGUUUUGGGAUGUAAGGAGGAAUAACUGGUACAACCGGUGGUUUAGGGAUGUAGGGUGGUGUGACAACCGGUGGUUUAGGGAUGUAAGGUGGUGUGACAACCGGUGGUUUGGGGACAUAUGGGGGUGGUUUGACAACUGGGGGUAGUGGAACAUAAGGGGGAUGUGGGUGAACUGGCGGUCUAGGGUGAGGUUUUGGGACAUAGGGUGGGUGUGGAUGCACUGGUGGCUUAGGGUAGUGAGGGGGUUUUGGGACAUAGGGUGGGUGUGGAUGUACUGGUGGCUUAGGGUAGUGAGGGGGUUUUGGAACAUAGGGUGGAUUCACAUGUGGAGGUUUGGGAGAUGAGUGGGGUGGUGGACAUGGUUUGGGUGGUUUCACUAUGGGAGUGUGUUUUGGGGGCUUAGGAGAAGGAUAAGGGCAAUAAGGACAAGCAAGAACAUUGAGGAAGGUUGUGAGGUUAAGGAGAAGGAACAAUAGGACAUUAGCUAGGGCAAACUUUCCCAUGAUUCAAAGACG
rnacentral:lncRNA from 1 species